rnacentral:rRNA from 1 species
UACGGGGGGGGUAAGCGUUGUUCGGAAUUACUGGGCGUAAAGGGCUCGUAGGCGGCCAACUAAGUCAGACGUGAAAUCCCUCAGCUUAACUGGGGAACUGCGUCUGAUACUGGAUGGCUUGGAUUCGGGAGAGGAAUGCGGAAUUCCAGGUGUAGCGGUGGAAUGCGCAGAUAUCAGGAGGAACACCGGUGGCGAAGGCGGCAUCCUGGACCGGCAUUGACGCUGAGGCGCGAAAGCCAGGGGAGCAAACGGG